rnacentral:lncRNA from 1 species
CUGGGUCCUGAGCUCAGGACACAAGCUCAAGUUCUGUGGAAUCCCGGGGUACCGCAGGAAAGGAAGAUUGGGUUGGAGGUGGCGACGCGGGGUUUAUGAGCACAGCAAAUCAUCGCUCUCUUAAAUCACUAAGCUUUGGGAUGAUGUGUUGUACAGUAAAUAACUGGACCAUAAUCAGUAGUUUGAGAGACCACCAGCAAGAUUCUAUUGCAUGCCAAAAUACGGUGCCACUGCCUGAGAGAGAUGGUGUCCAGGUCAAGACCCAGGCAUCGUGGGAUGAGGUCAGAGCAAAGGUGACUGCAGAUGUAUCGUCAUGGGACCCAGCUCUCCAAUGAAGAUGUAAAGUAUUUCCCAUUGCCCCAGAAAACUUCUUUCUCAUCCCAGUGCCUGGAAAAUUCUGGAAAUAAAUAUACCCCAAAUAUACUAUGAUCCCUUCUUGGUGGCAGGAUGGUGGAUGAGUUUUGAUUUUUUAAAUAUUUUUCCGGACUGUGUUGGAAGUGGCUCCAACAAUACCAAAGUGACUUAAGAUCAUAAUUUCUUUGCUGGGGCCUCGACUCCUCCCCCACGCAGACACCCCAUCCCCCAGCUCAUACAAAGGAGCCCAAGGAGACCGCUGAGUUUGCUCACUUUGAACCUCAAACAAAACCCUUGUGGAUUCAAGGGGAAUUAUUUCAGAGGCUCCCGGUAACAGGCAG